rnacentral:tRNA from 2 species
GCCGCUAUCGUCUAGGGGUCAGGACGCCAGAUUCUCAGUCUGGACACCGGGGUUCGAAUCCCCGUAGCGGUACCA